UUGAAGCCUUGUUGUACACUUCCUGGGCUCUGUGACUCUGACAAGGCACUGAAUUUAGCUGCUACUAUCAGUUAAGGCUCAGCUCAUAUGUAAUCAGUUCCAGGACCACCGGUCCCCAGGAAGAGGGAAGAUGUGGCCAAGGAGAAACAACUUCCUAUUCCUAUCCUGUAGCCUGCCAAGCCUGAGAAGCUACCUCCCUGAAAAUCUUCCUAGGACUCCUCAGCUUCCUCAAUGCUACCAAAUACCCACUAUCUCCAUAGACACACACAAAUCCCCUCCACCCACAAUGAUGUCCUGGUAAGCUACUUGGUAUCUUACUGCAACAAGUAUUCAAUGAAGAAGCUUGAUGUCUGUGCUAAAGAUGCCAUCCCCUGAGGUUCUGAAAGCUGUAAAUGCUCAAGCUCCUGCAGCAGUGCUACUCAGGGGAAGACAGCCCCCACUCUCCGUGUCACACUUUGUAUCUUGGGCACUAAAGCAGCCCUGCACUUAAUCCAUUCCUUCUGCUUUUGCAUGUAACCCCUGUCUACUCAGGGCUCAUGCAAAUAACUGGGUGAGGUUUACAGGCCUUGGUAAGCUCCUGUCCCAUCCCUCACAGAUGUGUCAAUUGCACUUCUUGCAAAACUGCUUGUCCAAGUUGCUAGCUUGUGGGCUGGUCUUCACCUGACAUUAGUACUUGGGCAGUUAGAGUUUUUGAUCUUUUAGACUAUAAGUUUUUAGUGAGUCAGGUUUUCUGUUUAAUUCUUCACAGCCAUUUUACUUCACAGUAAAAUGGUAUGGUUUUUGCUGUAGCAUACAGGAAUAUCUAGAAUAGUGGGGGUAUGGAAAAAAUGUUUCACAUUUAGUUUAGAGCUAGUCUUCUUUUACAUUUUCUUAUAUUCCAUUUUGUUAAUUUCUAGUAUUUGUUAAUUUCUGUCAUUUGUUUAUUUAACAUUUAUUGAGCUACUCUGAAGAGAUAACACUGUAUCCUGAACCAAUAAAUACGACUACUACAAUCUCUGCUUUCAAGUUUCUAUAAUUUUGGGGAGAAAGGGAGAUAAACACGAAAACAAAAUUCUGUUGAUGAGUGUAAAUGGAAACACUCAAACGUUUAUUUCCAGAGGAUAACUUAUGAAAGGAAAACAUUAAUCCCAGCCAGAUGAGGGGAUCAAAUGAUAUUUCUCACUUUCACUUUGCCACCCAAUCUCAGACACUAUCCUCUCUGGGCUGACAUUGACUUCCUCCAGCUGACAGAGGCAUCAUUAGUGAGUCCUGAGCUGCCAGUAUGGUCUAAAAACUAAAAUUUAACAGCCUCCUGAGCUGGGGAAAAUCUUAACUGAGAACUGCAAGGAAUAGCUGCCUUGGCACAAGCUGUGUGGAAUCUUAAAAGGGAGCAGGUUUUGAGGCCAAGAUUUAUGUUCAACAGCUAAUGCUUUAGAGACAGAGUUAUAUGUAGAAAAGCUGACUCCGUGUUUGUCCCUUACUGAUGCAAAUAAGAGUCGCAUCUGUAACCCAUGUUUUAUCUGUUUAUUUUUUUUAGACCCUGACAUAAUAUAAAAGGUGAGUAUUAAGGCCCACUAAACCUCUGAAGGUCUAUCUGCUUAUCCCAUUGCAG
rnacentral:lncRNA from 10 species